rnacentral:rRNA from 1 species
UAGUCCACGCCGUAAACGAUGGAUACUGGCUGUUUAUUUCGAUUUUUCGUAAUGAGUGGCCAAGCGAAAGUGAUAAGUAUCCCACCUGGGGAGUACGUUCGCAAGAAUGAAACUCAAAGGAAUUGACGGGGGCCCGCACAAGCGGUGGAGCAUGUGGUUUAAUUCGAUGAUACGCGAGGAACCUUACCAAGGCUUAAAUGCAAUACGAAUACUAUGGAAACAUAGUAGUCUAUCAGACGGAUUGCAAGGUGCUGCAUGGUUGUCGUCAGCUCGUGCCGUGAGGUGUCAGGUUAAGUCCUAUAACGAGCGCAACCCCUGUUGUUAGUUGCCAGCAAGAAAGAUGGGGACUCUAACAAAACUGCCGGUGCAAACCGUGAGGAAGUGGGGAUGACGUCAAAUCAUCACGGCCUUACGUCUUGGGGCUACACACGUGCUACAAUGGCAGGUACAAU